rnacentral:rRNA from 1 species
UAGGGAAUCUUCCGCAAUGGGCGAAAGCCUGACGGAGCAACGCCGCGUGAGUGAUGAAGGUCUUCGGAUCGUAAAACUCUGUUAUUAGGGAAGAACAAAUGUGUAAGUAACUAUGCACGUCUUGACGGUACCUAAUCAGAAAGCCACGGCUAACUACGUGCCAGCAGCCGCGGUAAUACGUAGGUGGCAAGCGUUAUCCGGAAUUAUUGGGCGUAAAGCGCGCGUAGGCGGUUUUUUAAAUCUGAUGUGAAAGCCCACGGCUCAACCGUGGAGGGUCAUUGGAAACUGGAAAACUUGAGUGCAGAAGAGGAAAGUGGAAUUCCAUGUGUAGCGGUGAAAUGCGCAGAGAUAUGGAGGAACACCAGUGGCGAAGGCGACUUUCUGGUCUGUAACUGACGCUGAUGUGCGAAAGCGUGGGGAUCAAACAGG